UACGUAGGUGGCAAGCGUUAUCCGGAUUUAUUGGGUGUAAAGGGUGCGUAGACGGGAGGUCAAGUUAGUUGUGAAAUCCCUCGGCUUAACUGAGGAACUGCAACUAAAACUAGCUUUCUUGAGUGCUGGAGAGGAAAGUGGAAUUCCUAGUGUAGCGGUGAAAUGCGUAGAUAUUAGGAGGAACACCAGUGGCGAAGGCGACUUUCUGGACAGUAACUGACGUUGAGGCACGAAAGUGUGGGGAGCAAACA
rnacentral:rRNA from 1 species